GUACGGAGCAAGCGUUGUUCGGAUUUACUGGGCGUAAAGGGCGCGUAGGCGGCAAAUUAAGUCAGCUGUGAAAUCUCCGAGCUUAACUCGGAACGGUCAGCUGAUACUGAUCUGCUAGAGUGCGGAAGGGGCAAUCGGAAUUCUUGGUGUAGCGGUGAAAUGCGUAGAUAUCAAGAGGAACACCUGAGGUGAAGACGGGUUGCUGGGCCGACACUGACGCUGAGUGCGCGAAAGCCAGGGGAGCAAACGGGAUUAGAUACCCCGGUAGUCCUGGCCUUAAACGAUGAAUACUUGGUGUCUGGAGUCUCUAUAGCUCCGGGUGCCGUCGCUAACGUUUUUAGUAUUCCGCCUGGGGAGUACGCACGCAAGUGUG
rnacentral:rRNA from 1 species